AUGAAUGAUGUGUGGGAGGGAAGCAACAGCGACGCGCCAUUGCCCGUGUCCGUGGCACCCAACAAGUUGCAUCUCUUCGAUGUUAUCAUUAUUAUGUCUCUUUGUUAUGCAUCUAUCUAUGUGUUGCUUUUGCAACCACGCUGUUAUAUAUAUGCACGCGAUUCGCUCCACGUGAUGUCGACGACGAUGACCGAGCGUUUGAGCGAAACCGAAAAACCAGGCUCAUUUCCAGGUAACCCAUCAGCAGCUGUUACCAUUUGGUACACAAGAAUUGUGUCUUUUUUGUUAUGCAUCUAUGUUUGUGUUGCUUUUAACCGAUCAACAACAAAAGAAGAAGAAGAAGAAGAAGAAGAAGCUGUUGUCACCUUGUAA
rnacentral:rRNA from 1 species